UAGGGCGAAACGACCCGGAUUCGGCUCAAAACAUCCGCCCGAAAUAACUCAACAAAUUAGAUUUUUCUGCUUUGAAAAUACGCAUGUAAAUAUAGUGAACAUUCGGGUUUUGCUGAAGUAUUAAUAAAUAACAGGGCAUACAGCUGCUAUGGGUAAUUCAUUUUCAUCUAAUACCCGCAAAUACAAGCUGCUUAUUGGAGAUCUCUCUGGAAGUGAUGUAUCUUUUGAGGAACGCAAACUGUUCAGUCUCAGUGAACAAGUUAUUUACAAUGAACAAGCCACCAUCGGAAAAUUGUCUGUUGAUCUCAAUGCUGUUGUCAUUGAUCGUCACAAUAUUCUUGCGCAGGAGACUUCAGUUGAAUCUGCAGUGCGAAAGGACAGUGAUCCAAUAACAUUAUUUAAACUGCUAAUUUCUGGAAAGCCCUAUUAUAUAUCUCAAACAUUUAGUAUGUGGAAUUCCUAUUUUACAUAUGACCAGUUAUUUACAUUGUGUUGCCAUGGCAAAAAGACAGCUAUUUACUUACAGCCACUAGGAUAUUUUCCCAACUUUAUUAGUGAUUUUAAAGUAAAUCUAAAACAUUAUGAUGGGAGUUAUAACUUCUUUGAUCUCCUUCAGAAGUUUUUGGAAGCCUUUUUUGAUGGUAUGCAUAUUAAACUGUUACCUAAUGUUAAUGAAUAUGAGGCAAAGUGGAAAAUCAAAACAAGAUUUCAUAAUAAAACUGGAAGUAAACAGGCAUAUGUACGAGAUUUCUUUCCCAAACUAAGGAAGGCAAAACCAGCAGAUGGUCACUGUAUACUAGGCUUAACUUGGACUGAUUUGUACCCAACUGAAAAGCUAAACUUUGUUCUUGGAGAAGCCCACUUUACGUACAAGUCCGGAAUGUUUUGUUUUGGACGCAAUGAGCCAAAGUCUUAUGAUCCAGAUACAUUCAAAGACAUUGGAGAAAUAGAUGCAAAUAUUAUGUGGCGUAUAAUAAAGGUGGUGAGCCAUGAAACCUGCCACCUGUUCGGCCUGAUGCACUGCUGGUAUUUCCACUGUGCCAUGAAUGAGAGCAGCAGUAUGGCAGAGGCUGCGUCACAGCCACUCUUCCUGUGUCCAGUGUGUCUGCGGAAACUUCAGAAGGCGUGUGGCUUCAAUAUACUGAACCGCUAUAGGAGAAUGCUGUGUAUAUUGAGUGAUAUAUCUGAUACGUUUCCAUCUCCAGAGUUUUGUCAUUCUGUCCAGUGGUUGAAAAAAUGCCUGGAAUUUUUGGAAUCUGAAAGUCUGUGAUAUGUGGACCUUUUGAACUUGUUAUACAUAAAUGUGUAUUCAUAAGGCAAAUAGUCAAACAAAUAUCUAUUGAAAAUGCUUAAUGAUAUUUAACAUUAAUGGCACUAUAGCUCUCCAGCAUUAUCAUGACUUUAACUUUUAUGCACAUAAGAACAUGUAUAGUACUAAAAUUAUAAUAUAUAUCAUUGUAAAUACAUUAGUUUUGAAUGAAUAUGACUAGUAUUCUUAUAAGUUUGAAUAUAGGAAACAAUUGAGCUACAUUUUUAACCAGGUUUUCCGAAGGAAAAAACUGGUUAUUAGAUUGGCGAAUGCGGGCGGGCUGGCUGGCGGGCUGGCUGGCGGGCUGGCGGAAUAAGCUUGUCCGGGCCAUAACUAUGUCGUUCAUUGUCAGAUUUUAAAAUCAUUUGGCACAUUUGUUCACCAUCAUUGGACGGUGUGUCGCGCGAAAUAAUUACGUCGAUAUCUCCAAGGUCAAGGUCACACUUUGAGUUCAAAGGUCAAAAAUGGCCAGAAAUGAGCUUGUCCUGGCCAUAACUAUGUCAUUCAUUGUGAGAUUUUAAAAUCAUUUGGCACAUUUGUUCACCAUCAUGGGACGGUGUGUCCCACGAAAGAAUCACGUCAAUAUCUCCAAUGUCAAGGUCGCCACGACUAAAAAUAGAUUUAAAAAAAAAAAACUUACAAAGGGGGUUAAUUUUUUUUGGUCAUUUCAAAAGUUCAGUUUGAGUUUUCUCCCUUUAUCAGAUUUUUUUUUCACAAUGAAAACCUGGUUUUGUGACAAUUUUGUCCCUUGUUCUUACUUAUUUCAUGAAAUUCACAAGAAUCCUGCUAAUACUAUUAAGCUAUACAUGCCUCAUUUGUAUAAAAAUAAAAGUAAGGUGGGUAGUACAAAACAACAUGUAUUAAAUAUGAUCAUACUGUCUCUGUUUAUGUACCUUUACAUCCAAACAUUUUGUCUCAGUACAUACAAACUAAUUAAUUGACUUGGAAUAGAAAAGACUAAUGUCCUUACAGAAGAACAUUUUCAACUAGUUGACUUGAGUUUAGAUGGAGAUGUGCACAUUUAAAAUGCUGGUAGUUUACAAGAAGCCUCAGCUGGGGAUUGCAUUAAGGGCCAGUUGGAUUAAGGUCAAGGUCACUGUUACUAAAAAUAAAAAAUAGGAUAAGUGGACAGUGAUUGCCCCAAAUCGCACACCUGAUUUUAAGGCAAGCUUAUUGUCACAGACUGCUUGGUGACCCAGAUUUUAACCUCAUCUUACCCAGAUAUAACAUGGUGUAGAUAUUGUAAAGAUAAACAUUGCAGCUAUGCAUCAUUGAUAUCGAGUUCAGAUUAUGAAAGUGGUAACAAUGUUCAUCAAUACUUUUAUAUAUAUACAUGUAUAUAUCAUAAUAUAUGUAUAGUAAUAAUUAUGCCUUUUAGAGUAGUAAUAGUGCCUUUUAGAAUGGUAUGACCUUGUUACCAAGAUUUUGGAAGCAUAUGACCCAGAUUCAAUUUUUACUUAGAUUUUGUUCAGAUAAAUAUAAUUACCAACAUGAAUCAAGUUUAAGACACAAAUGUGGCCCCUAAAGAUUUUCCAAGAUUUGACCUCGUGACUUUUUUGGACGCAUAAAACCCUGAUUCUAAUUCAUCCUACAUGUAUAUAUAGUCGACUGAACAUUACAACAAAGUUUCGUCAUGAUUAGAUGAAAAUUAUUUUUCUCUAGAGUGUAAACCACCUGAAAGUUGACGACAGACUAUGACGGACAUAGAAUAACCACAAUCACAACAGCAAACAGGUUUUUUCAAAAACUUGACAUAGCAUGACCACAAUCGCACCAGGAAACAGGUGGUUUCAAUAACUUCUAUAACUUGACAUAGAAUGACCACAAUCACGACAGUAAACAGAUGGUUUCUAUAAUUUCAAUAACUUAAGUUUGCAUUGACAAAUAUUUAUUAAACUUAUGAUAAAGAAAGCUUGCCUGAAAACCUAGCUAAAGAUUGUAUUUGAGUCAUGUUGGGUAAUGGUGAAUGCAACUCUAAACAGAACAAUAGUUUCAGCUCAAUAAAAUGAUCUUGAAUGGAAAUAUUUAGCUUAGAUAUUUUGUGUUAAUGUAGCUUGAAUAAGACUUAGCUUGGGAUUGUUUUUGGUGUCAGGUGGGUGAAUCUCACUUAACCAAGAAUGGAACUUAAGCAAACAGGUGUUUUCUUGUUAAUAAAUGAUAUUAACAAGAAAAUUCCCAAGUUCCAUUCUUGGUAACAAUGAUCUUCACCGGUUUGAUUUGAAGAAUUUGAAUGAAACUGCAGAUUUUUAUGUCCCCCACUAUAGUAGUGGGGGACAUAUUGUUUUUGCCCUGUCUGUUGGUCUGUUGGUCUGUACGUUGGUCUGUUUGCGCCAACUUUAACAUUUUGCAAUAACUUUUGCUAUAUUGAAGAUAGCAACUUCAUAUUUGGCAUGCAUGUGUAUCUCAUGAAGCUGCACAUUUUGAGCGGUGAAAGGUCAAGGUCAAGGUAUUCCUUCAAGGUCAGAGGUCAAAUAUAUGUGGCCAAAAUCGCUCAUUUUAUGAAUACUUUUGCAAUAUUGAAGAUAGCAACUUUAUAUUAGGCAUGCAUGUGUAUCUCAUGGAGCUGCACAUUUUGAGUGAUGAAAGGUCAAGGUCAUCCUUCAAGGGCAGAGGUCAAACAUAUGUGGCCCAAAUCGCUUAUUUUAUAAAUACUUUUGCAAUAUUGAAAAUAGCAACUUGAUAUUUGGCAUGUAUGUGCAUCUCGUGGAGCUGCACAUUUUGAGUGGUGAAAGGUCAAGGUCAUCCUUCAAGGUCAGAGGUCAAAUAUAUGUGGCCCAAAUCGCUUAUUUUAUGAAUACUUUUGCAAUAUUGAAGAUAGCAACUUGAUAUUUGGCAUGCAUGUGUAUCUCAUGGAGCUGCACAUUUUGAGUGGUGAAAGGUCAAGGUCAUCCUUCACAAGGUCAAGGUCAUCCUUCAAGGUCAAACAUCAUAUAGGGGGACAUUGUGUUUCACAAACACAUCUUGUUUCAGCUUGGGUUGUAUUUUGAUCAAGAAAAUGUUUCUGAAAAUAAAAUGAUUGCAUAGCUCAAUAACUUCAGGUGAGACAGAGAUUUUGCAAUUAAACUUUGUGUGUAGGUAGAUAACAGGCGUACUUAGCGUUGGAGUGUGCAAUUAUUUACAUUAAAGUAAUAACACAAACUUGAAAACCUGGUUGAAGGGCGUUGUCACGAUUCUCUCAAAUCUGCUAUUUUGAUGUUAUUUGCAGCACAAUAUCUGGUUGGGUUUUUGGUAUUUGUAUUAUUUAUUUAGUAAAUAAAUUGUUGAAAACCA